GACGAACGCCGGCGGCGUGCUUAACACAUGCAAGUCGAACGGAAAGGCCUCUUCGGAGGUACUCGAGUGGCGAACGGGUGAGUAACACGUGGGUGAUCUGCCCUGCACUCUGGGAUAAGCCUGGGAAACUGGGUCUAAUACCGGAUAGGACCAUGCUUUAGUGUGUGUGGUGGAAAGUUUUUUCGGUGUAGGAUGAGCCCGCGGCCUAUCAGCUUGUUGGUGGGGUAAUGGCCUACCAAGGCGGCGACGGGUAGCCGGACUGAGAGGUUGGUCGGCCACAUUGGGACUGAGAUACGGCCCAGACUCCUACGGGAGGCAGCAGUGGGGAAUAUUGCACAAUGGGCGCAAGCCUGAUGCAGCGACGCCGCGUGGGGGAUGACGGCCUUCGGGUUGUAAACUCCUUUCGCCAGGGACGAAGCGUUUUGUGACGGUACCUGGAGAAGAAGCACCGGCUAACUACGUGCCAGCAGCCGCGGUAAUACGUAGGGUGCAAGCGUUGUCCGGAAUUACUGGGCGUAAAGAGCUCGUAGGUGGUUUGUCACGUCGUCUGUGAAAUUCCACAGCUUAACUGUGGGCGUGCAGGCGAUACGGGCUGACUUGAGUACUGUAGGGGUAACUGGAAUUCCUGGUGUAGCGGUGAAAUGCGCAGAUAUCAGGAGGAACACCGAUGGCGAAGGCAGGUUACUGGGCAGUUACUGACGCUGAGGAGCGAAAGCAUGGGUAGCAAACAGG
rnacentral:rRNA from 1 species